UUCAGGUGUGUGUGCCUUUUUGUGCUCCCCUCUUCUUUGUAAUCUGUUCUCUUGUCGUAAUCCGUUCAGUUCUGCUCACGUGUUGGCCGAGAGACAAAAGGAAACAUUUCACUCCCAUUCGGAUACAAGCAGAUCGAGAUAAUCAAGAUACGGGCGUUUGUGUUACUGGUUACACACCUACACACAGAAGACUUGGUUCGAUGAAGCAGACUGAAAAAAGGGACUUUGGAAUGCUACUGCUGCUGUAAGUGUCAUGUUCUUCAUCAUCGUUGUUAUUAGAUAGCGGGAAAUGGUAACGCAUUGAGUCAACGAUAUUCAAGAUAUUUGAUGACGAAUGAUGAGCAACAUCAUCGAUGCUGCACAGCAUUGGUUUUGUCUCAUUUAUUGUUUUUCUGCUGAAUUUUGCAUCUCAUGUCUCGACAAGUCCGUUUGUCAAAAAUGCAGCACGAAAGACAAUACGAUCGGUCCAUAAAUCUCUGGCAUCGCCGACGGCACUUACAGUACGUCAGUUUUUAUAUUAUAUGAAUGGAUUCAAAUCUCCGAUUACGUACCAACGAGUUCGUGUCGUAAACUCAUGAAAAACAAUUUUCCUCAUGUAACCACGUUCGUAACAAGUACAAAACAGGAUUCGAAUUCGGGAAAUAUUUAGACACACUCACGACUACUAGUAUUGCCAAGUUGGGGGUUGGGUGAACGAUGAAUUGCCACUAAAACAAACAAAUCGUCAACCAACUGCAUAAAUAUUACUAGUCGUUACGUUACUAUCGAAAAGAAAAAAACAUAAACAGAACCAAUAAUUUAUCACCCACUGAAAAAUGACGAUCUGUUGAACAACAGAUGAUGAUCGGAAGAGUUGCUCAAAUGUCUAUAACAUCCAAGUGCACACACAGAAAUAAUAGGCCUGUAUUACUCGGACGAUGCCGACGGACCAAGUCGUAGGCGAGUAUCGAAUUGCGACAAGUCGGUGAAACACGACCGCUUCUCUUUUUCCUCUUGGGCAGCAGGCAACAAACUGUUUCCAAGAAAGCUCCGUUGAGCAAAAAUUAAUAAAAAAAAAAAAAAGGGAAAAGAGAGAAAUAGAGAAAACACAGUACUUGAAUCGCACAUGGAACAAGUCAUAUUAUCUUUGAUUAGGAUUCGAUAUCAACAACUUCCUUCUUCUCCGCCUCCCCAAGUUUAUUAAUAAACUCUUGUUUCUUGAUGGAAGAAUAUGAAGACGCUUCACUGGCGCCUUAUUACCAACCCCUUUCUCUUUUGUCUUCUCUCUCAAUGCCCUUUUUUUUGUUCCAUCUUUAUGGUGAAGUCCGUAUCACGUGUCGUGUCAUUUCCAUCAUCGCGUCAGAGGGUAACGAGGUAAUGACCGGGGCGGUAACCAGAGCUUAAUCACUGCUCUUCUCGCUGGCAGUUCUAGAUGCAUUUUUCGAUGGGGGGUUGUCUAAAGAGUGAAUGCAAUAUUUUUUCCUUCCCCUUUUGUUUUUUUUUUAUAUUUUUGCACUCCAGUUGUCUGACCAUCAGACGAGUUCUAAUGUUUUACAAUUCAAGAAGGAAUAAAGACAGAUAGUGUGGAUGGGUAUGAGAAAGGUCUUUAACGUGACCUCUCUUUAAAUGAGGUAUCAUGACUAGUUAUAACGAUGAAUCUACGAUGAAAGCGAAUGAGAUUAUAAUAAGAAGGGGAGACGAGAAACAAUUAGUAAAAUUAAUUAAGAAAAA